CUGCCUGGCACUGAGCCUCCACAGACCCCCUCCCUCACCCCCAGCCUUGUGCUCCGCACAGACCCUUUAUGAGGUGAUGCCAAGAGACCUAUCAACACCUUCCAUGCUUUAUCAAGAGAGAUCCGGCCACCUAAAGACAGUUUCUCUCUGCAAUAUCAGCUGUGCUUUGUGCCUAGGCCCUCUCCUGUUUAACAGCUCUCCCGUGCCAGCUCGGUGCCCGGUGCCUGCUCUCCCACAGCCCUGAUGCAUUCUGCAAGCCAUCCGUGGUGCGUCAUUUGGGCCCAAACAAUUCAUCUCUGAGGUACACUUGGUUGAGUAUUCAUGGGCUAAACUUUAGGUAAUUAGCAUUGUUAAUGUUCUCUGUGCGAUAUUACAGCUGUGGGCCUCAUUAAAACAUCCUCUUGGGAGAAGCCAGGCAAAGAGUCAGGUGUCAGCCGUGCUCUGCGUGGAAAAGCCCGCCUGCUAUUCGGGAGCGUUGUUUGUUCAAACACAGGACAGGAGGGCCCCGGGUCACCUUCCUGCAGCACCGCCAUGAACAAAGCCAAUUGUCCCACCCUGCCUCCAUUCUCUAUGCAAGGAGUGGGUGAGGUGAGCACAUGGCAGCCGUUACUACUCCGGGCAGUGCCCCCACGAGGGGCCUGGAGGAGUCUGCAUAACUCAGGCAGUGAGAGCUUCAAGGAUGGGCUCUGCAUUCGCUCUUUUUGUGACCUUUCUGAGUCCUUUUCCCCAGGCCGGCAGCAGCUGGUCGGGCAAUUAUUUAUGAAUGAGAGCGGAGCUUUUCCAGCUGAAGGUGGUUGCUGUGGGCAGAUGCCAGAGCAACACAUGGGCACAUCCCAGCUGUUUGCAGGCUCCGAGCUCUGUCAGAGAUGUAUGUUAACAGAUACAGACACACGUGUGAUUGUCAUCUUGCCAUCCUCUGAAACCAAUGGCUUCAGCUUUUGGCCCAGCUUCCUAAGGGAAGAAGAGCAAGUGCAGCCAUGAAAUCAUCUGCUUCCUACUAAUGUUUUCUAAACUCCUUGGUCCUUUUGGCCAAGUACAGUGAAACCAUACGGUUGUUAAAUUCUUAUAAUUUUUAUGAAAACACAUGACGAGCAGAGCGGGGAGAUAGAAUAAGAAAUGUCUCAUUAGUCCCUUCUGAAUGAAAGGACACAGCAUGACAUUACACCAUACUAAGCACUAGGGAAUGAGAAAGAUUACGAUUCCCCCAUCUCAAUGGAAAUUUGCAAUCAGAGCCUGCGACUUAAAGGUACUGGAGAAUCCCAGUAAGCAAUAGAAAGCCACAGAAAAAAAUGCUCCAUUUCAUCUGCUGUUCGUGGCACAUCAUCUCUCAUGCUAUGGUUGAAGGAUAAAAAUGUCUUCUGGAAAUUUCACGGAGGACAGCAUGAGGCCAAGAGCACAGGAGGUCCCCAGAGAGGGCAGGAAGCUGACCGGAGAAUUAUUUUCCUACUGAAGUGCUGCUAAUAAAAGUGUAAGGCAUUGGUAGCAUUACCUGUAGCACCAGGCCAUCCCUUGUGCUUUUUGGAACUUUUUACUGCAGCUAAAACCAAGGAUCAUUUCUGUCAUCCUGGACUUUCUCAGAGAUGGGAGGAGUCUGGGCCAGAGGGUGCUCGGGUGGGUCCAGUUUUCUCUUGGUCCUCUCCAAAUAUCCACAGCUUGUCCAUUCCAGAGGUGGUCUGUGCCAUGCCAGGACCUCUGUAUAUGUGCAGCAGAAACCAAGGACAGAAGUAAGAGUGGGAAUCACGUAAGGAAAACAAUUUUGUUUCAGGAGAAAUCAGAGUAGGGUUCUAUAUGAUGAUAGAGGCUAGAACAGUGCAAUAUUAACAACAUCUUCACUAAUAACACUAACUUUGGAGAAUUGCUGGGCACAGGGCUUUUAUCCAAUGUAACUAGCUCUCCUGUGUUUCCUUUGCUGUGAACUUAUGCAG
ensembl:lncRNA